GGAGAUGUACCCAAGAGGCUGAAGGGACCGCACUCGAAAUGCGGCAGGCCGGACAACCGGUGCGAGGGUUCAAAUCCCUCCAUCUCCG
rnacentral:tRNA from 1 species